CCCUUAGAUGCUCUGGGCCGCACGCGCGCUACACUGGUCGAUGCAACGAGUUUCUUUCCUUGGCCGACAGGCCUGGGCAAUCUCUGAACAUCGAUCGUGAUCGGGAUAGAUUCUUGUAAUUUUUGAUCUUAAACGAGGAAUUCCUAGUAAACACAAGUCAUCAGCUUGCAUUGAUUACGUCCCUGCCCUUUGUACACACCGCCCGUCGCACCUACCGAUUGAAUGGUCCGGUGAAAUCUCCGGACUGGCGUGAGUCGGAGCAAUCUGACAAACACCGGAAAGUUGAUUAAACCUUACCAUUUAGAGGAAGGUGAAGUCGUAACA
rnacentral:rRNA from 1 species